rnacentral:rRNA from 1 species
AACGCGAAGAACCUUACCUGGCUCGAAGCGUAGUGGACCGGGUGGAACAUCCUUGCCGCAAGGCCUGCUACGGAGGUGCUGCAUGGCUGUCGUCAGCUCGUGUCGUGAGAUGUUGGGUUAAGUCCCGCAACGAGCGCAACCCUUAUUGCCAGUUGCCACCGGGUUAUGCCGAGCACUCUGGCGAAACCGCACAGGAUAACUGUGAGGAAGGUGGGGAUGACGUCAAGUCCUCAUGGCCUUUAUGUCCAGGGCUACACACGUGCUACAAUGGUCGGUACAAACCGUCGCAAACCCGUGAGGGGGAGCUAAUCGGAAAAAGCCGGCCUCAGUUCGGAUUGGAGUCUGCAACUCGACUCCAUGAAGCUGGAAUCGCUAGUAAUCGCGGAUCAGAACGCCGCGGUGAAUACGUUCCCGGGCCCUGUACACACCGCUCGCGA